UUUGAGUGUCCUCACUCUCGAC
rnacentral:siRNA from 1 species